AACUCAAAGGAAUUGACGGGGGCCCGCACAAGCGGAGGAGCAUGUGGUUUAAUUCGAUGAUACGCGAGGAACCUUACCUGGGCUCGAACGUAAGAUGACUGUAGGUGAAAGCUUACAUCUCUUCGGAGUAUUUUACGAGGUGCUGCAUGGUUGUCGUCAGCUCGUGCCGUGAGGUGUCGGGUUAAGUCCCAUAACGAGCGCAACCCCUACCUUUAGUUGCCAUCAGGUAAUGCUGGGGACUCUAAAGGAACUGCCUACGCAAGUAGUGAGGAAGGCGGGGAUGACGUCAAGUCAUCAUGGCCCUUACGGCCUGGGCUACACACGUGCUACAAUGGUCGGUACAAAGGGUUGCCAAGCCGCGAGGUGGAGCUAAUCCCAUAAAACCGAUCGUAGUCCGGAUCGCAGUCUGCAACUCGACUGCGUGAAGUCGGAAUCGCUAGUAAUCGUGAAUCAGAAUGUCACGGUGAAUACGUUCCCGGGCCUU
rnacentral:rRNA from 1 species